UGCAGAGGUCUCAAGCGUUGUUCGGAUUCAUUGGGCGUAAAGGGUGUGUAGGUGGCGCCGUAAGUCGGGUGUGAAAUUUCGGAGCUUAACUCCGAAACUGCAUUCGAUACUGCGGUGCUUGAGGACUGGAGAGGAGACUGGAAUUCAUGGUGUAGCAGUGAAAUGCGUAGAGAUCAUGAGGAAGACCAGUGGCGAAGGCGGGUCUCUGGACAGUUCCUGACACUGAGGCACGAAGGCCAGGGGAGCAAACGGG
rnacentral:rRNA from 1 species